rnacentral:rRNA from 1 species
UUUGACCUCCGAUCAGGUAGGAAUACC